UACUUAUUUAGAGAGGUGGAGGGACUGGCCCUAUGAAACCCGGCAGCGGAUCUGCUAUCCUUUGAUGCGAUGGUAGAUGCUGUGCCAAUUCCAGCAGGAGUAUUCCUGACAGAUAAGGA
rnacentral:ncRNA from 1 species